rnacentral:lncRNA from 1 species
GUUGUUAUAGACUAUCACUUUUUAAUGUGAGUGAAAAUUAGAUGAUUUGGUUAUACUUGUGAAAACAUGCUCCCAAAUAAAUUCAAUUAAUGGGCACUUCCCUGCUGAGAUUUUGUUAUCAUUCAUUUAAUUAUCUUGUCAAGCUUUAUUGUUACGACAUUUGUUUUGGUUUUUUAGUCAAUAAACUAAGGGAAUUUCUCCAACAGCCUUAUACCUCUCCUGCACUUGAUAUAGCAUCAUGCACUACAAAUUUCCAUCAGAAGUCGCUAAAGAAAUUUCCUACUGAGGUGAAGUAUUUAGUAACCAGCUUGAUUAUUUUUCAUAAGCAUUCUUAUUUGGUUUAAUUCUGACACUUUGCUGUAUUUGUAUGCAAGCCUAAA